rnacentral:lncRNA from 1 species
CAGAAACUGGUGAUAUGGCUGUGUGGGGCCCCAGUGUGUGAGUUCCUUACAACUUCAGCUACUUGAAGUUAGUAAUAGGCCCAGUUUAACAGGGUUCCAGUCUGUCUGGGGAAAUAAAUUCAAGCUGUUACAACUUAAUACAUCAAUUGCCAUGGUGGAAGUAUGAAAAAACAAUGCCUGGAUAUAUAGAAGCAGGAAGAAUAUUCUCUCUUUUAUGAGAUAAGAGAGUUGAAGGUGGCUAUGCCUGCUGCCGAAGAGAGAACCCUGAGUCACAAGUACACAAAUGAAAUGCGAUUGUCUUCGUGGGUUGCAUCGUAUGAUUUGGAGCAAGUCUUCAGGCACUCAUGGAUAUUGUCAAAAUCUUCCAGAUAUUUUGAAGAGAUCAGAAUGAUCUUUCCUACUUCCCUGCAAUCACCUACCUGCACAGCUAAUAUUUUCUGAAUACUCUCCUGAGAGUCUGUCUGGAAGUUGGCCAGCCUCAUCUGGCUGAAGAGGACCACCAGUUUGAAGUGCUCCUGCCACAGUGUGUGCAUCCUUCUCUGCAGCUGACAGAGCUAAAGGGAAGAGGGAGGGGAGAAAACACAAGUCAGAGGAGGAGAGGAAAUUAAUGGCAGUGUUCAAGAAGAAUGAUGGAGGGAAAUAUAGAAAGCAGUCAAUAGCCCAUUCUGCACUGCACGGACCUGACAGGAAUUUCACAGUCUCUUGAUUUUUCAGCCCACUCAUGUGCAUUCAUCAGAAACCAGUCACAUCUGGCCGCCAGGAUGGGGGGUUAAUUUUCUCUAAAUGCCUCAGCAGUUUUGUUCUAGCUGAGGCAAACUCUGUGACUGCAAAGCUGAUGAGUAAAAUAUUUCUACUUCACCCAGUUUAACUCAAAACCGAUAGCCUUGGGACAUAUUGAACCUUUCUUGAAAAAAAUCAUCUUUUGAAGCCGUUUUGAAUGGCACAUCAGGUCAAGCCAAAGUUUAAAAAUGCAACUUUAAGACUUUGAUGGACACCAUCACUGCUUUUUUUCCUCAUAAAGCUUACCAUUGCUUGGCAAUGUGUGCUUUAGAGCAUGACAAAACUAAAGAGAAUUAACUUAGCCAUCAACUGCUGAGGGAGAACAAUAACAAGGAAGAAAUUUCCAGCUAGAACUCCCUAUUAAUCUACCUCCCUCUGACCAUGUGACAUGGAAACAUCUCACUGCACUAAAGCAUAGUGGAUGCGGUGUUAAGAAGUGACAUGUUUAAUACAGGAUCUGUACAGAAAAAGAAAGAAUUCACCUAUGACAUGUGCUAGAUCAUUUGGAAAUUUAAUAUAAAAACCAAAAGAAAACAGUGGACGUUUUAUCAAAACAAUGUACAUUUGCCCUUCACCAGUUACCGUAGGCACGCCAUACAGAAUUAUUAUAAUAAGGCAUUUUCAAAGGGAUAAACAUAAAAUUAACAGUAAAAACAGUUUCUUAAAAAUCCCAAACAUUUAUAAUGAAUGCUUAUAUUAUAUAUUUAUAAUGAAUGUAUAUAUCAUAUGUUUAUACAAUAUAAUACAUUCUGUCACUGAAAACUCUUGGUUUUGGGGAUGUGGAUAAUUGCUGAUAUCAGCUCAUUUUUAGCAUAUUUUGCAGAAUGAAAAAACAAAAUUCACAUCCAAACAUAUAAUAUCAAACACAAUUUUUAUAUUAAAUACUUCCUCAUACCAGAGUAAAAACAUGUGAAAAAUGUGGCUAUCUGAUGGGUUACAUAUGCAGGAUCCUCUGUAAAACAUCAAUAAAGAGUGUAUGUAAAAUUUGGGAAUGCUUUUGUAUAUAUAUUUCAAUAAAACAAUUCACUUAACUAAAUACUUGGUAUUGCAUGUAAAUUGUUUACCAUCAUUAUCCUCAUUAUGCAUUGUUAUAAAUAACACAUAUGUAUUUGUGUUUGGUUCCCAGGAAAAUAAAGCCUCUAUUUUUGGUUAGUUGAUUAGGAAGAAGAAAAGACUUUGAAAACUAUAGGUAUUUCAGCUUACUAAAUGCUGAAUUACAUUGUCCAGAACCAGUUUAUGGGCAUUUCAGAUAAUUUGGGCUAUUAAAUUAAAACUUAGCAUUAUUAUUUGAAGAGAAAUUUUG